AAAAACGUUAAAAAUAUCACAAGGAAAACACGCACAACCGUUGCGCAGGAGCAGCAGUGGAAAACUGACUGAUGGACACGGAAAAUCUCGGCAGGCAGAAGGAUUUAGGAGCGCUGCAGAUGACAGCAAACAAUGGACCAGGAAAAUGUUGGCCAGGAGUGGAAAAUUGACAAACAAUGGUCGCCAACCAGACCGAGGGAAGAAGAAGAAGCAGCGACGGCCACGGCGGCAUCAAUUUAAUUUAAAUAAUGUGAACUUUCAUGCCAAUGAAAAUGAUUUCAAAAGAGAAACUCAACGCAGUCCAACUCCCAAAACAAACUCGACAACUUCACUUCCGCUACAAAUGCAACAGAGGCAACAAACAACGUUCAAAACAACAACACAAACAACAUCUUGAACCACGAAAAACAACAAUGAUGACACCCACCCAACCGAGGAAAAAGGGUUAACUUUGGGCACAGGGUAAAACUAAUUGGCGGUUAGGGGUUAAGGUUAAAAAACUAUCAACUCGGAUAGAUGGCAAUUUAAGCCCCUAAGUAUAGAUUAUUAAUAUAUGUAAAUAUGUCAUAUGUAAGUUGAAAAUAGGGAUUAUAUUCUUAAUUAAAAGAAUAUUUCACUAUAUUCAAAAAUGUGUUAGGAAAACCAGGAAUCUAGCUAUAUCAUAAAUUAAAUGUUGUUCUGUAACUAUAAUAAAUCUAUAU
rnacentral:lncRNA from 1 species